AUGAAGGCUCCCAUUGCUGUAGAGAGGGGCCCUUGGCAGAGGCGGGGUUGUCCAGCCACCUUAUGGAAGGCAGGGGCGAGUACGGCCAGCCUGGGCGGCCCCAGCACACCCUGCCUGGGGGACCGUGAGCCAACCCGUGGGGUGGUUGCCAGCACCAGACCCUGGGGUGUUGUCACUCAGCAGGAGACAAGGGCCACGGGCUUGGCUGACACUUCGCUCCUCUGGUUGGAGGCCCUGCUGCCAGGAGCCAGCCCCACCCGUCACUCCAGUGAAACGUUUGGGUCUCACUGCCGGCUGCGUGGCUGGGAACGAGGACAGAGCUCUCUGCCUGCAGCUGAGGAAGGGCCCCCUCUGAUGGACCUCCAAGCUGCUGGGGGCUCGGGCGGGAUGAGGGUCUGGCCGGGAGGCCGUGAGGGGCGCUUUGUGUGUGUGUGGGGGGGGGUGGGGUGGGCAGCCAAGCCUGGACUCUUAGGGACAGUCGUGCGGCUCCAGACACUGGGAAGAGUGGCGAGAGGCCUUGGCUGGGGAAGUUGCGAUCAUGAACUAUCGAGAACAAGUGUCUUCAAAAGAGCUAGAUUUGGGGGAAAGGAAGCGCCUGGGGGAAGCACAGAAAGGACCCCUCCGAGGCAGCACAGAGGCUCGUUGUGCACAGGGAGGUGGUGGAAGGAGACGCUCGAACCAGGCCCCGGGGCCCUGCUGGCGGGCCGGCCCCGCUGUGCCCAGGACCCAGUCCAGGCACUUAAUCCUCAUCUCAGCCCAUGGUCGUGGGUCCACUGUUUCCAUCUGUUUUUAAUUUGUUAAUUAAGUUUUUGAUGUGGACCAUUUUAAGUCUUAAUUGAAUUUGUUACAGUAUUGCUCCUGUUUUAUGCUUUUGGGUUUUUGACUGCAGGGCAGGUGGGAUCCCAGCUCCCUGACCAGGAAUCAAACCUGCAGCCCCUGCCCUGGAAGGAGAGGUCUUAACCGCUGGACCAAGGAAGCCCCGCCUCUCAGUUUACAGACAGGAAACAGGCCCAGCGACUUGACGGGGCCACUUGGUGCUGAAGCAGCAAAUCUGGGGCCCACGUGUGGCCAGUCCGGCUUCAGAGUCUGCCCUCUCAACCCUGAAUAAUGCAGCUGGACUUCCACAUGGCCCCUCACGCCUCUGCGGGGCCUUAACCCCUGACCCCACUGGGUUCCUCUCUAGAAGAGAUGACUGAAUGGGCUGGGGUCAGCCACCUCCCGCCAGGGGCUGCUGCGUGGAAUCCCACAUGCCCCUCUUGGGAGAGGCUGCCCCGGCUUGCCAGGAAGAACCUCGUUCAGCACCCUUCAGCUGUGUCCUCAUAGCCUGGACCCCGCGUCUUCCUCCAGAGAGACGCGGGGAGUGCCCUCUGCUGGGAUCUAAACUACACCCUCAGCUCACAGACAAGGAGGGGCCAGAGGAGAGCAUCCCCUCCCUGGGGCCACACUCAACAGGCUUUCUUCCCGAGGGUGACAGGGAGACAGCAUGGGGGGGCACACUGCUCUUUGGGGGGUCCCUCCAGGUCCUUCCGAGCAGGGGUUAAGUAACCAGCUCCAUCUCCUGGGGGUGAUGAGCUGACCGCACUGCUAGGAGGAGGGUGAGGUGUCAGGAACACAGGGGUGAUCGCCCUUUAUGACCUCCCCUUGAACCUUAAUCCCUAGACUCGAGGUCUCGGGGGGUCAGUGCCCUCCUCUGCCCAGACAGGCACCCUGCGCUUGGUAGGGCUCAGAGCAGUCUCUGCCCACCACCUGUCAGAGUCUCCCCCUCCCCACCCGCAUGACAACCCGGGAGGCCCCACAGCAUCACUGCAGGCUGACAGCCGAUGCUCGGAGGACAGGUCUCCCCAAGCGCAGGCACCUGAAGACUUCGUGCAGGAGGAAGUUCAACCCUUUUGUUCCCCACCGGUUCCCUAUAGCGUCUAGAAUAAUCCGAGGCAGGCAGAAAUGCUGGAGGAGCAUUUGAAAGAGAAGUGCCAAGUCAAGGUCGUCCAGCCCUUGACUCUCCUCCAGAUCCCUCUCUUCCAGUUUCAGCUGCAAACGACGGGACUGAGCAUCACCCGAGCAUCAGCGUGCCCGUGUUGCCCACACCUGUGCCUACCCCCGGCUCUGCCUCGAGCACCCCGCCACCUCCAGCGUCUGGCUCCCGGAAGCCUGCCCUCGGCCAGGUGGGGCCCCUGUGCCCUCCACGCGCAUCUGCACCUUUCUCACCCCAGAUCCAGGGAGCUUUAAGGAGGGGAGAAGGGAACAAGGAGAGUCCCUCUGUGGGCAGGAGGCCCCGGGCACAGCACUGACCUGUCGCAGCUUCUCUCCAGGGAGGAUGGGGGGAUGCGUGAGAGGAGGAAGACUGUUGAAAGCGUCACAAGGGAACUGUUCUCAGCCACCCCGGGCAGAGAGAGCCUGAAGCCAGGCGCCGCCUCCCACCCCGCCACAGCCCUCCGAGCACAGGGCCCUCGCCUUCCUGUCGUCCCAUCACCAGGACUAACGCCCUCUGUCUCCUGUCCUAGAUCACAGGCAGGCGAAUCACCAGGCCUUCAGGGAGCCGACUUCCCAUGGCUCCCAGGGCGGGGUAAGGCACGAAGGGUAAGGGGGGUACGGGGGGAAGGCCCCUGAGUUCGGACUCUGCUGCGGCCAGGAUGGCGGUCCCAGGGCCCCAGCCCCACGGCAGCAGCUUCGCAGACCCGUCCGCCGGGGAGGGCUCACGUCAUGCCCUGGGCAGAGAGCUGCGGGCUGCAGGCGUCCCUGGUUCAGGACACAACUCCAAAGGCAAUGCUGUCUCUUUUCGUCCUCACCCCACCACGGGCUCCAUAGUUUGAAAGGAACCCGGGGGACUCCCCUGGUGGUCCAGUGGCCGAAACUCUGAGCUCCCAACACAGAGGGUCCUGGGUUCAAUCCCUGGUCAGGGAACUAGAUCCCACAUGCCGCAACUAAAGAUGCCACCUGCCACAUCAGAGAUCGAAGCGUUCUGCAGCUACGACCUGGCGUGGCUGAGUGAAUUAACGUGAAUACAAACAUGGAACCUGUGCAAGGCUCUCCCUGGGAAAGGACUUGGCCCACGUGGGGCUUGGAGGUGGGGUCCAGCACAGACUUAACAGAUUCUCCCUGAUUAUUUAAAACACACAAAAAAGAUGGGGGGUAGGAACAGAGCGUGGCUCACUCUACUCCACUCUGGGACCAUGAGGGGAGGAAGUGGCGGCUGUGAGUUGGUGCAGAUGAACCUCGCAGCUUACUCUGUCCACCAUUGACUCACUCACUGUCUGGCACCAAAGCACAGGCGGGCUCGGCUCAGCUUCCUUCCGGCUGCCUGGGCUCCUGUGUGGUGAGGGCUGGUCUCUCCCUGACACUCCAAAUGAACAGAACUGCUAAUAGGUGUGAAUUCAUGCACCCAGCAGGGGAAAAGCAGAGGCAGGAAGAGAGCAGAAAGUGCCAGCUGCUGUGUCCGGUGAGGUCCCAGCAGAGCAGGCUGGGCGGAGCCACCCGACACAGACCCAGAUCCCUGAGGAGGUGCCGGGCAGCUUUCUGUGACCGCCCCCCUUCCUCUUGGACCUUAACUGCCCCUCUACCCCGAGCCCCUAGAGUCCUAGGGGAGCCAUGAAGUUUAAAGGUUCUCAAGUAGAAAGUCAACAGGUCUAGCAGGGAAACUUGGUUCCCUAAAAUGGAAAGGGGGGCAGGUAAGGAAGACCCAGGCCCGGGCUGCAGCUGGGCCUAAGACUGAGACAAACCAGUACAGUCGAGGGCCGUGUCAAGCGGGGACCAGCAGGCCUCUGCCCUUGGAGCUGCAGGGACACAGGAGGCUGGGGGCCAGAUCCGCCACCUGACGGGGCUCCCAUGGGGGCACCAUGGGGGUCACAGGGCGGCUGGGCACCAUCCUCUCAGCAAACCCCUCCCAGGGCUCAAUCGAGCUGGGCUCACAGCCGCUCAGUGGCAGGCGCACACACAUUGAGUCUACAAGUGUGUCUGGAAAUCAGCAGGAGACCCAGGCCCACAUCACAAACCCCCACCUUGGGGCCACUCCUGUCUCGCCGUGAAAGCCUCACAAGCCACCUGAACCCUGGGCUGUGCCGGAAGGGUGUCCGGUCCAGCCUGUGGUUCCUGUUGGGCCUUUUUGCUGAGAACACACUGAUCUCUCAGACCACAGGCAGCUGGACCCUCAAACAGUGGUUCUGUUGCAGGAAAGGGGACCCCUUCCAGGGCCCGAAACUGGGCUCUUGUCUAACACUCGGAAAUGAAUUGUCCUAGGAGACAUAUCUGCUGACAAAGCAAGAGAUUUUAUUGGGAAAGGGUGCCCUGGUGGACAGCAGUAGGGCAAGGGAACCCAGGAGAACCGCUCUGCCGCGUGGCUCACAGUCUUGGGUUUUAUGGUGACGGGAUUAGUUUCCGGGUGGUCUCUAGCCCAUCAUUCUGACUCAGAGUCCUUCCUGGUGGCGCACACAUCGCUCAGCCAAGAUGAAUGCCAGAGAGGAUUCUGGGAGGUGGUCGGACACGUGGUGUCUCCUUUUGACGUUUCCCGAACUCUUCCAGUUGGUGGAGGCUUAUUAGUUCCCAGUUCCUUACCAGGACCUCCUGUCGUAAAACAACUCAUGCAGAUGGUUACCGUGGUGCCGGCCAGGGUGGGUGGUUUCAGUCAGCGUGCAUCCCCUAACAGUUCCUUUCUCUGUGGGGAUCCCUUUGAGGAUAAAAAGUUAUGGGCCUUCUUGCCUAAGAGGCUCAUAGGCACUUCAUAAUGAUUUCAGGGGUUCACUGUUUGGGAUCCUGGCUCUGGGACCCCAUGUGGUCAUAAGGCACCGGGUGGAGCCCUGGUAAGGCUCACCACCGGCCUGGAGGGUACAGGCCCGGCUUCCACUGCCCUCUGGUGCCACCGGGAGGGGGACACACUCCCAGCAGCUGCAGUCAGAGCCCCGAGGUGGCGUGGCUCACCUCUCCUUCAGGCCGAUCCAGGGCCCUGAACACUCGUAGGGGCGUCGGCCCCCUGCAGAACCGGGGGGACCAGUCCUCCACUGGCCCCCUGUGGGCAGAGGAGCCUCUGCUUUACCUUGGAAGGAGGCAAGGACGCUGGAAGACUGAGACAGCCUCUGCCCAGCAGAACCCCACUUACUGGCAGUACACAGUCGUACCAGAUCACUGUGCUGUGUGCCCUGAGACCGAUAGGCUGUCUUCUGUGUAUCAGCAAAAAUAAAUUUUAAAAAAGAAAAGCAAAAAAGAAAGAAAAGCAGCUGUUAUUCAAAUUGAUGACUGAAACAGAAAAUUCUCCAUUUAAGAAAGACCUAAGCCUGGGGAUGCUUCAGGCCCCACGUCACCUGGAGGAGACAGCGUGGGACAGUCCCUCUGAAGGGCAGCAUGAGCUGCCGGCUCCCAGCCGCUGCCCCCGACUCUCCAGGCCUUGGGCAGGGGUUGGGCGGAACUGGAGAAGGGGCAGAAGGCCAGUGGGAGCCCCUCCCAGCUGGAAAGCCGUGCUCAGGCGUCGAAGAACAAGCAGAGCAUCAAGGCUGAUUCCUCCCACCUGCUGGGCUAGACACAGAUCAGAGUCAGAGGAGGCUGCAAAAGACGUCAGGCGGAAACGUGAGGUGCCAGCGCGGCAGGGCCAGCGGCUCAGGCUUCUACCCCCAGAUCCACACUUGGAACACGGCAGCCCCAGGGAAGCGGUGGACACCACCAGCCACAGCCCAACCUAGGCUUCCCAUGCUUCCACACAUGUCCAGCCUCCCGGGCCAGAGAGCAUGCUGCGGACAUGUGGAUGUCCUGCAGGUGCCGCAGGCGUGUCC
rnacentral:lncRNA from 1 species